GCGUUCGUAGCUGGAUUGGUAAGGCUUCAGCCUUUCAAGCACCCGGUCAUGGGUUCAAUUCCUUGCAAGUGCA